CAUCGCUCUUGGCUCUGGCUCGUGGCCGCUCCCGGAUCCAACAUGGACACACCAACCGCCGCCUGACGUCACACCCUUAAGCACCAACCACCUUUUUUUCAAAAAAAACGGUCACUUUCACCUUCCCCCGUUUUUCAGACCACCUCUACCAAAAAAAAACCCACAAGGAACAAAAAUUCGCCGCGACAUCAGGGCAUGGCCCUUUAAACACACUUCAUUUUUCGGAAAGUUGAGCUGCAGGCGAUGGCCCCAUCCCCCACCGCCGUCAUGGUGCCAGGAAUUCGGUGCAUGGAGGCUGCUCGCUUGUUUGGGUUGUUGCUCUCUGUCGCUCCACUGCUGUUGAACGGAAUAACGGUUUAUUGCCCGCACACAUCCCCACUCUUCAAGCAGAAGAAGAAACCUCCAGAUUCUCUGGCAGAGUCCCUUUUCCUGACUUAUCCGCUCUGUUGUUAUGUAACACAAAGGACUAGGAGUCCGAGUUAAUACAUGAAACACAAACAAAAUUACAGGAACACUCAGCAAGUCUGGCGGCACCUGUACAAGAGUUAAAUAGAGUUCAUGUUUGACCGUUUUGUGCGGCACUGGGAAAACGUUAAGAUGCAAAGGAACAAAAAAAACACAACGACUGCUCUGGCCAGCAUGAUAAGAAGCUACAGAAGGUUAUGAAUACUGCACAGACCAUCACGCAAGCCAACCUUCCAUCCAUUGACUACACUUCUCAAUGCCUGGGAAAGGCAGUCAACAUCAUCAGAGAUUCUUCCCGCCACUUUUAUAAUCUAUUCCAACCUUUUCUAUUGGGCAGAAGAUACAAAAGCUUAACACAUGUUCCAACAGGUUCAAGAACAGCUUCUUCACCGCUGUUAAUAGACUGCUGAAUGGACCUCUCUAAUUUCAAAUCGAAUGUUGAUCUUGCUUUUUGCAGCCAUACCUUUGUAUUCCCUGUGGUGUUCAAUCACCCUAUGAUCUUUGUAUGUUAUGAUCGGCCUGUGCUGAACGCAAAACAAAACUUUUCACUAUGCUUGUGCACAUUUGAUAAUAAUAAAUCAAAUCAAAUACA